GACGAACGCUGGCGGCGUGCUUAACACAUGCAAGUCGAACGGUGAUGCUCCAGCUUGCUGGCGUGGAUCAGUGGCGAACGGGUGAGUAACACGUGAGCAACCUGCCCCAGACUCUGGAAUAAGCGCUGGAAACGGCGUCUAAUACUGGAUACGAAACUGGCCCGCAUGGGCAUGGUUUGGAAAGUUUUUCGGUUUGGGAUGGGCUCGCGGCCUAUCAGCUUGUUGGUGAGGUAAUGCUCACCAAGGCGACGACGGGUAGCCGGCCUGAGAGGGCGACCGGCCACACUGGGACUGAGACACGGCCCAGACUCCUACGGGAGGCAGCAGUGGGGAAUAUUGCACAAUGGGCGAAAGCCUGAUGCAGCGACGCCGCGUGAGGGAUGACGGCCUUCGGGUUGUAAACCUCUUUCAGCAGGGAAGAAGCGAAAGUGACGGUACCUGCAGAAGAAGCACCGGCUAACUACGUG
rnacentral:rRNA from 1 species